GAGGGGCAGCAUUUUUGUAGCAAUACGAAAGAUGGCGACCGGCGAAUGGGUGAGUAACACGUAUCCAACCUGCCUGUCAGUCAGGGAUAGGCUCCCGAAAGGGAAAUUAAUAUCUGAUGCAACAUGAUUGAAGCAUUUUGAUUAUGUUAAAGAUUUAUUGCUGACAGAUGGGGAUGCGUCUGAUUAGUUAGUUGGCGGGGUAACGGCCCACCAAGGCGACGAUCAGUAGGGGUUCUGAGAGGAAGGUCCCCCACAUUGGAACUGAGACACGGUCCAAACUCCUACGGGAGGCAGCAGUGAGGAAUAUUGGUCAAUGGGCGGAAGCCUGAACCAGCCAAGUAGCGUGUAGGAAGACUGCCCUAUGGGUUGUAAACUACUUUUAUACGGGAACAAAGUCACUUACGAGUUAGGUGUUUGCGUGUACCGUAGGAAUAAGCAUCGGCUAAUUCCGUGCCAGCAGCCGCGGUAAUACGGAAGAUGCGAGCGUUAUCCGGAUUUAUUGGGUUUAAAGGGAGCGUAGGCGGGUAUUCAAGUCAGUUGUGAAAGUCUGCGGCUUAACCGUAGAAUUGCAGUUGAUACUGAAUAUCUUGAGUGCACAUAAGGAUGGUGGAAUUUGUGGUGUAGCGGUGAAAUGCAUAGAUAUCACGAAGAACUCCGAUUGCGAAGGCAGCUAUCUGGGGUGCUACUGACGCUGAGGCUCGAAAGUGCGGGUAUCAAACAGGAUUAGAUACCCUGGUAGUCCGCACAGUAAACGAUGGAUACUCGUGGUUGGCGAUAGACAGUCAGUCACCAAGCGAAAGCGAUAAGUAUCCCACCUGGGGAGUACGCCGGCAACGGUGAAACUCAAAGGAAUUGACGGGGGCCCGCACAAGCGGAGGAACAUGUGGUUUAAUUCGAUGAUACGCGAGGAACCUUACCCGGGCUUGAAUUGCACUGGACGGGAUCAGAGAUGGUUCUUUCUUCGGACCAGUGUGAAGGUGCUGCAUGGUUGUCGUCAGCUCGUGCCGUGAGGUGUCGGCUUAAGUGCCAUAACGAGCGCAACCCUUUUUUCUGGUUGCCAUCAGGUAAUGCUGGGCACUCCAGAGAUACUGCCAUCGUAAGAUGUGAGGAAGGUGGGGAUGACGUCAAAUCAGCACGGCCCUUACGUCCGGGGCUACACACGUGUUACAAUGGGAUAUACAGAAGGCAGCUACCUGGUGACAGGAUGCGAAUCCCGAAAGUAUCCCCCAGUUCGGACUGGAGUCUGCAACCCGACUCCACGAAGCCGGAUUCGCUAGUAAUCGCGCAUCAGCCAUGGCGCGGUGAAUAUGUUCCCGGGCC
rnacentral:rRNA from 1 species